rnacentral:lncRNA from 1 species
CAGCCAUUUUUUUGAAGAGGUUAGAAGGUCCACACGACCAUCGAUGUUGUUGAUAGCGGAAGGCUUUGAAAGUACUUGGAAGUUCACUUCUUACCUAUGUUGCACGAUAACAAAUCAUAUAUGAUUAGGAUAACUAUCUUAAUGCUGUGCCAUUUCUCCAGUCAGUUUUGUUUCGGAUGAAUAAGAUGAGCAAAAAUUUUGACGUACCCUAAUGUCAUCGACAAAAACAAACUUCCAUCCUUGGAGGGUAGCUCGGACAGCCAAAUCCAUGUCCUCAACAGUAGUUCUGUCCUUCCAUCCUCCUGCUUCAUUAAGGGCUUUAAUUCUCC